GCUGGCGGCGUGCUUAACACAUGCAAGUCGAACGAUUAACCCAAACUUCGGUUUGGUUAUAAAGUGGCGAACGGGUGAGUAACACGUGACCAACCUGCCUUCUAGAUCGGGAUAACUCAAGGAAACUUGUGCUAAUACCGGAUACUCCGGAGCAAUCGCAUGGUAGCUUCGGGAAAGCUUUUGCGCUAGAAGAUGGGGUCGCGGCCUAUUAGGUAGUUGGUGGGGUAGAGGCCUACCAAGCCUGCGAUAGGUAGCCGGGUUGAGAGACUGAUCGGCCACAUUGGGACUGAGAUACGGCCCAGACUCCUACGGGAGGCAGCAGUGGGGAAUUUUGCGCAAUGGGGGCAACCCUGACGCAGCAACGCCGCGUGCGGGAUGAAGGUCUUCGGAUUGUAAACCGCUUUCAGUAGGGAAUAAGUAUGAAGGUACCUACAGAAGAAGCACCGGCUAAAUACGUGCCAGCAGCCGCGGUAAUACGUAUGGUGCAAGCGUUAUCCGGAAUCAUUGGGCGUAAAGCGCGCGUAGGCGGCUUGUUAAGCAGGAAUUUAAAUCUUAGGGCUCAACCUUAAGUCGGUUCCUGAACUGGCAGGCUCGAGUGCGGUAGAGGAAGGUGGAAUUCCCAGUGUAGCGGUGAAAUGCGCAGAUAUUGGGAAGAACACCGAUGGCGAAGGCAGCCUUCUGGGCCGCCACUGACGCUGAGGCGCGAAAGCUAGGGGAGCGAACAGGAUUAGAUACCCUGGUAGUCCUAGCCGUAAACGAUGGGCACUAGGUGUGGGGAGGAAUUCUCUCCGUGCCGCAGCUAACGCAUUAAGU
rnacentral:rRNA from 1 species